UCCAUUCCAAAUUUCAAAAUUUGAACACAGACCCUCUCUCCCUCCCUCUCUCUCUCCCUCUCUCUCCAAUUCUUUUUUUUCAUUUCUCACUCCGACCACUCCAACCAUUGUUCUCCUGCAGCCCGGUUGCCAUUGUUCACUCCGGCAGAUUGGUUUACUCUGACCGUCUAGCAUCGUAAGGUAGAGGCUUUGAAAUGUGCAUUAUCACUUGCAGCCUUGGUUGAGUACGACAUUGGAUGAAGUUAGUGUAUACCCCAUACCUGCAGCACUUUACCUCAUAAAAAAUUUGCUUCAGGUGGCUGAUUCGUAUUGGAAACGUUGGGUUGUUGCUUCUCUUUAUGUGUGUAGUUGGUUAGCUCUCAUUGUAAACCGAAUGGUUAAUUAUUAUUAUUUUUAGUUAGAUAGGAUGAUUACUCUUUUGUACCAAAAUAUUCGUUCACCUUUUCUUGAAGGUAUUGAAAUUUGAUAAACUGAAAAGGUUACCAGUUAUGAUACUAAUUCAGUAACAUCCUUUCAUUGAAGGUUUGCUAUAAUGUGUCAUUUUAGCGUGGAUUGAAUUCUAAAAUUUGUUGUUUGGACUUGAAUUUUAGCAAAUAUUUUUAGAUUCUAUUAUUUGCUUAUGCUACACUGUAAUAUAAAAUUUAUUAUUUGGACUGUAAUUUUGAAGUUUGUUAUUUGAAA